rnacentral:rRNA from 1 species
AGCGAACGCUGGCGGCAGGCUUAACACAUGCAAGUCGAGCGGGCGUAGCAAUACGUCAGCGGCAGACGGGUGAGUAACGCGUGGGAACAUACCUUUUGGUUCGGAACAACGCAGGGAAACUUGUGCUAAUACCGGAUAAGCCCUUACGGGGAAAGAUUUAUCGCCGAAAGAUUGGCCCGCGUCUGAUUAGCUAGUUGGUGAGGUAACGGCUCACCAAGGCGACGAUCAGUAGCNGGUCGUGAGAGGAUGAUCAGCCACCAUUGGGACUGAGACACGGCCCAAACUCCUACGGGAGGCA